GGGGAGAGAGAGAGAGGGUUUGGCUGUGAGAGUGCGUGAGCGAGUGAGUGAGUGAGUGAGUCUGUCUGCCUGAGUUCGAAUUUCUGAAGCCACACCAUUCCUCGAGUUUUCUUCUUUUCCUUCUUCUUCAUCUUCUUCUGCUUGUGCUUGUGCUACUUCUUUGUCGGUGUGAGGUAGCGGGAUAGUAUUGUCCAUCCUCUCGUGGUUCUCCAUCCGUUCCGACCGCAGCUCUUGAGGUUUAUCCAGGGUUUUGUUGUCUCUGUCACGAUUGAUUUGUCGAAGAGAAUUUCCAUGGACGAUGCUGACGAGGAGGAGUUCGAUUUCGCCGCUAUCAAGCAGGGGUUUUGUUAGUUGAUUGAGCCAGGAACUGCUCUUGAUUGACCGUUUGCACCCUUCCACCAGGGUUUCGCCAUAGUUUAAUGUCAAGCGUGCUGGCAGGCUGUCUUGGAUUCGGUUCCUACAACGUCUCCGACAUUGGUUUUCCUUCUCUGUUGUGCUUGGUGCCACCUACUGUGCGGACAGGAGCGCCCUGGUACCUCCCCCGCGUGUACCGCAAACCGAACUUGGAUGGAAGAAGAGAAAGAGUGACGCUGCUGCACACAGUGUGCCAUUUCGAUCACUUCAGCGCAGAGAUGGAACAGGGGGCUCCUCCCUCUUCCGCGGUACUCGAAGGAGCCCUGUCCACCUCGACCAACUUGGAGCAAGCAGAGCACAAUUUUAGCAACCAGUUUGGGCGGGACAACUUCUCUGGGGGAAAAAGACAAUCACCUUAUGGCAGUGCAGGGUACACAACCCGCGAAGGCUUUGUAAGGGAACCUCAGGUCGCGUUUCCGUCGUUUGUGGAAAAGGGUACAUUCCCUCACGAUGGGUUUUCUCGUGACUCUGUGAGCAAGGAUGGCGAGAGCAUGGGUUUGUCAGAGUCCGAAACAGCCAACAAGAGGCAGAAACGUCCGGAUUGGUGGCAGGAGCCUCAAGGCGUGGACAGGCCUUCGGGAUCUCCGAAGGAUGUUUCUCCCAGUGGAAAUGUCAUUGCAACUCCUCCUCCCGCAGUGCCUUCUUUUGGGGGACUUGUGAUGCCGUACAGGGACAUUAGGAUGGGCGCUCUUGUUGGGAUUGAGGGUAAUAUAGUUGAAGGAGACCUUGGGGCGAGUAGCGGCGAAGGAGCGGGAGUUGGUGAUGAUGAGGAUGGAGGAGAUGGAGAUGGAAAAGAAAGAUCGGACAAGGAAGGUUUUGCCAGGAAGAAACGAGCAGAAAUGUGGCAGGAUGCUGAAAUGGAUGCUCUUGUAAAAGCCUUUCGGGAGGUUAAUAUGAAACUCGCAGCAGCGGGAAAGAAAGGGAAGCAGGUAUUUAAGUCUGCUAAUGAUAAAUGGAAUGAAGUAAGGACCCUUCUUUUAGCCUCUGGAGUGGACAGACAGCCCAAGGAAAUUGAACGCAAGUGGUCAAAUCUCUCUACUGCGUUUAAGCAGAUUGCUGAUUGGAAUAAAAAAGUGGGGCGGCCAAACUACUGGGAAUUAGACGAGGUCUUGAAGAAAGAAAAGACUAAGGCUAAGGAGCUGCCAGCGACAUUUAGGGUGCAGCUUUUUGAAGCCAUGGCUGAGUUCAUGGGUGAUCGCCAGGGGGCUCGUAGCCGAUCUCCUGCUCAAGGGACACAAGGGACCCCCGGGCACGUAUCUGUACCUGGCCUACCCCGCCCACCCCCUGCCCCAGGGGUAGUGGAGAUGCCAUUGCCUAUGGAAAAGCUCCUUGUUCAUGCCAACCUCUUAGGCGAUGCAAAUCACAAAAGGUCGCGCGUUGUUCUACUAGCCCCCGGGAGCUUUAAUCCACCGACAUAUAUGCAUCUUCGCAUGUUUGAGUUGGGUAGGGAUGCUCUCACAGCAGAAGGUCAUCAUGUACUUGGAGGCUAUAUGUCUCCUGUCAAUGAUCAGUUCCACAAGAAGGGUCUUGCUUCCGCAGAUCACCGUAUUAGGAUGUGCCAGUUGGCUGUUUGUGAUUCGCCUACUAUAAUGGUAGACUCCUGGGAGGCUAAACAGAGUUCGUACCAGAGAACGCUUACUGUGCUGACAAGGAUUGAAGCAGCAGUCAAUUCAAGUAACUUGGCCUCUGACGAAAAAGUAAGAGUGAUGCUCCUCUGCGGAACUGAUCUGCUUGAGUCUCUCACAACUCCAGGCGUGUGGAUACCGGACCAGGUGCGGGCUUUAUUACAAGAUUAUGGAAUUGUGUGCAUAAAUCGAAACGGGAAGGAUGCACGACGCCUUGUGUUUGAACACGACAUCUUGUAUAAUAACCAAAGACAGAUUUUGGUGGUGGAUGAGAUCAUUCAAAAUACUAUAAGUGCAACAGCAGUCAGGCGAAAUUUGGCUAGGGGCUUAUCGGUGAAAUAUUUGAUCCCUGAUUCAGUGAUCAAUCACAUCAAGAUGCACAAUCUGUAUAUGAAUGCUUCAUCCAUUCAGCAACCCUGAGCUGAAAUCAAGGCUUGACUCCUGUGAAAUUUCACUUGUAUCGAGGGUUUUCAUCACUGUCGCAGUUUUCGGAAUGGAUUGUGCUAUUAACUAGAAGGGUUUUGAUUGCACGUCGAUUAUUUCGCAACCAGGCCUGGUGAUAUGUAAUGUAAGAUGACGUGAUUCAUAGUUUACAUUCUGUAACAGCAUAUGCCGGGUUUAGAACGAUUGAAAAUAAGGCGCUUGUGAAAAAUCAGUUUUGUGUGAACACAUUAGUGGAAUGAGCAGUGGUGUGGGAUUGUGGACCCUAUUUGUGAAGUGCUAUGUAUAGGAUAGAUCUCUCGGCGAGAAAGAUGUUUAAUAUAAAUUUCAUCUUGUUGCGCCUA